rnacentral:rRNA from 1 species
CCGCUUGGUUGGGGGGCGCGCGUAGGCGGUUUUUUAGUCUGAUGUGAAAGCCCACGGCUCAACCGUGGAGGGUCAUUGGAAACUGGAAAACUUGAGUGCAGAAGAGGAAAGUGGAAUUCCAUGUGUAGCGGUGAAAUGCGCAGAGAUAUGGAGGAACACCAGUGGCGAAGGCGACUUUCUGGUCUGUAACUGACGCUGAUGUGCGACCGAA